rnacentral:rRNA from 1 species
CAGCACCUCAAGUGGUCAGGAUGAUUAUUGGGCCUAAAGCAUCCGUAGCCGGCGCUGUAAGUUUUCGGUUAAAUCUGUACGCUCAACGUACAGGCUGCCGGGAAUACUGCAGCGCUAGGGAGUGGGAGAGGUAGACGGUACUCGGUAGGAAGGGGUAAAAUCCUUUGAUCUAUUGAUGACCACCUGUGGCGAAGGCGGUCUACCAGAACACGUCCGACGGUGAGGGAUGAAAGCUGGGGGAGCAAUCCGGAUUAGAGACCCGAGUAGUCC